rnacentral:rRNA from 1 species
CACGUAGGGCGCAAGCGUUGUCCGGAAUUAUUGGCGUAAAGAGCUCGUAGGCGGUCUGUUGCGUCCGCUGUGAAAACCCGGGGCUUAACCCUGGGCUGGCAGUGGAUACGGACAGACUAGAGGUAGGUAGGGGAGAAUGGAAUUCCCGGUGUAGCGGUGAAAUGCGCAGAGUAUCGGGAGGAACACCGGUGGCGAAGGCGGUUCUACUGGGCCCUUAC